AGACUGCCGGUGACAAACCGGAGGAAGGUGGGGAUGACGUCAAAUCAUCAUGCCCCUUAUGACCUGGGCUACACACGUGCUACAAUGGGAAGUACAACGAGUCGCGAAGUCGCGAGGCUAAGCUAAUCUCUUAAAGCUUCUCUCAGUUCGGAUUGCAGGCUGCAACUCGCCUGCAUGAAGCCGGAAUCGCUAGUAAUCGCGGAUCAGCACGCCGCGGUGAAUACGUUCCCGGGCCUUGUACACACCGCCCGUCACACCACGAGAGUUUGUAACACCCGAAGUCGGUGAGGUAACCUUUUUGGAGCCAGCCGCCUAAGGUGGGAUAGAUGAUUGGGGUGAAGUCGUAACAAGGUAGCCGUAUCGGAAGGUGCGGCUGGAUCACCUCCUUUCUAAGGAA
rnacentral:rRNA from 1 species